rnacentral:rRNA from 1 species
UACGGAGGGUGCAAGCGUUAUCCGGAUUUACUGGGUUUAAAGGGUGUGUAGGCGGACUUUUAAGUCAGCGGUGAAAUCUCCGGGCUCAACCCGGAAACUGCCAUUGAUACUAUUGGUCUUGAAUGUUGUUGAGGUGGGCGGAACGGGUCAUGUAGCGGUGAAAUGCGUAGAUAUCUGGAGGAACACCGGUGGCGAAGGCGGCGUUCUGGACUGUUUCUGACACUGAAUAACGAAAGCCAGGGGAGCAAACGGG